AGGGCACCACCAGGAGUGGAGCCUGCGGCUUAAUUUGACUCAACACGGGAAAACUCACCCGGCCCGGACACUGUAAGGAUUGACAGAUCGAGAGCUCUUUCCUGAUUCGGUGGUUGGUGGUGCAUGGCCGUUCUUAGUUGGUGGAGCGAUUUGUCUGGUUUAUUCCGAUAACGAACGAGACUCCGGCCUACUAAAUAGUGACUGGAUCCCUGGUCCAGUGCACUUCCUAGAGGGACAAGCGGCGUUCAGCCGCAUGAAAUGGAGCAAUAACAGGUCUGUGAUGCCCUUAGAUGUCCGGGGCUGCACGCGCGCUACACUGGAGGAGGCAGCGUGCCUUUACCAUUGCCGAAAGGUAUUGGUAAACCGAUGAAAAUCCUCCGUGAUCGGGAUCGGGAAUUGCAAUUAUUUCCCUCGAACGAGGAAUUCCCAGUAAGUGUGGGUCAUCAGCUCGCGCUGAUUACGUUCCUGCCCUUUGUACCCACCGCCCGUCGCUGCCCGGGACUGAGCCGUUUCGGGAAA
rnacentral:rRNA from 1 species